rnacentral:lncRNA from 1 species
GAAACGUCAUUUGAGGUUUAAAAGGUGAUCUAUUGUUUUGAAUUCUUUAUAUUCCAACUUUUUAGCAACUGUAUGGUGGAAAAAAGUUGUCUUACAACCUUAACCUAUGUUUGGACAGUUCACUCACGCAAUUUGGCUAAAUUUUCCAUAGUCUUUAUUUUAUUUUGAGAAACGAUGUGGUAUAUUGAUGUGUGGUGUUUUACUUGAGUGGACAUAAACACAAUCUAAGGCUGCCAUGAAUAGACGGGAUUAUAGUUAACAUAUUAUCACAAAAGGUCAUUAGCUAGCCCACUAAUGUCUUCAGCCACUAGUUGUACUCUAAUACCCUCUCGUGCGAAUACAAUGCCCUCAAUAUCAUAGAAACACUAUUUUUGUGUGGUGUUUUACUUGAGUGGACAUAAACACCAUCUAAGGAUGCCAUGAAUAGACGGGAUUAUUGGAAACCAGGUAUCACAAAAGGUCAUUAGCUAGCCCAAUAACGUCUUCAUCCACUAGUUGUACUCUAAUACCCUCUAGUGUGAAUACAAUGCCCACAAUAUCAUAGAAACGUCAUUUGAGGUCAUUAGCUAGCCCAAUAACGUCUUUAUCCACUAGUUGUACUCUAAUACCCUCUAGUGUGAAUACAAUGCCCACAAUAUCAUAGAAACGUCAUUUGAGGUUUAAAAGGUGAUCUAUUGUUUUGAAUUCUUUAUAUUCCAACUUUUUAGCAACUAUAUGGUGGAAAAAAGUUGUCUUACAACCUUAACCUAUGUUUGGACAGUGCACUCACGCAAUUUGGCUAAAUUUUCCAUAGUCUUUAUUUUAUUUUGAGAAACGAUGUGGUAUAUUGAUGUGUGGUGUUUUACUUGAGUGGACAUAAACACAAUCUAAGGAUGCCAUGAAUAGACGAGAUUAUAGUUAACAUAUUAUCACAAAAGGUCAUUAGCUAGCCCAAUAACGUCUUCAUCCACUAGUUAUACUCUAAUACCCUCUAGUGUGAAUACAAUGCCCACAAUAUCAUAGAAACAUCAUUUGAGGUUUAAAAGGUGAUCUAUUGUUUUGAAUUCUUUAUAUUCCAACUUUUUAGCAACUGUAUGGU